rnacentral:rRNA from 1 species
GACAGAGGUGCCGAGCGUUAGGCGGAAUCACUGGGCUUAAAGCGUGUGUAGGCGGAUGCCUAAGUACCUUGUGAAAUCCCACGGCUUAACCGUGGAACUGCUUGGUAUACUGGGUGUCUUGAGCCACUUAGGGGCUACCGGAACAAAUGGUGGAGCGGUGAAAUGCGUAGAUAUCAUUUGGAACGCCAAUGGUGAAAACAGGUAGCUGGGGCUGUGCUGACGCUGAGACACGAAAGCCAGGGGAGCGAACGGG